rfam:Trichobilharzia regenti genome assembly, scaffold: TRE_scaffold0018746
GUACUGCUGAAGCGGAGUCCCAAACUAGGACGAAACAGCUGUCCAGUAC